rnacentral:rRNA from 1 species
UACAGAGGUCUCAAACGUUGUUCGGAUUCAUUGGGCGUAAAGGGUGCGUAGGCGGCGCGGUAAGUCGGGUGUGAAAUCUCGGAGCUUAACUCCGAAACUGCAUUCGAUACUGCCGUGCUUGAGGACUGGAGAGGAGACUGGAAUUUACGGUGUAGCGGUGAAAUGCGUAGAUAUUCGGAAGAACACCAGUGGCGAAGGCGGCUCACUGGUCCGGUACUGACGCUGAGGUGCGAAAGCGUGGGGAGCAAACAGG